rnacentral:rRNA from 1 species
GACGAACGCUGGCGGCGUGCUUAACACAUGCAAGUCGAACGGAAAGGCCCUGCUUUUGUGGGGUGCUCGAGUGGCGAACGGGUGAGUAACACGUGAGUAACCUGCCCUUGACUUUGGGAUAACUUCAGGAAACUGGGGCUAAUACCGGAUAGGAGCUCCUGCUGCAUGGUGGGGGUUGGAAAGUUUCGGCGGUUGGGGAUGGACUCGCGGCUUAUCAGCUUGUUGGUGGGGUAGUGGCUUACCAAGGCUUUGACGGGUAGCCGGCCUGAGAGGGUGACCGGCCACCAUGGGACCUGGAUUACGGCCCAGACUCUACGGGAGGCAGGCGGUGGGAAUAAUUCACCAUUGGCCGAAGGCUGAUGGAGCCACGGCGCGUUCGGGAUGACGGCCUUCGGGUUGUAAACCGCUUUCGCCUGUGACGAAGCGUGAGUGACGGUAAUGGGUAAAGAAGCACCGGCUAACUACGUG